GAUGAACGCUGGCGGCGUGCCUAAUACAUGCAAGUCGAGCGAACAGAUGAGGAGCUUGCUUCUUUGACGUUAGCGGCGGACGGGUGAGUAACACGUGGGUAACCUACCUAUAAGACUGGAAUAACUCCGGGAAACCGGAGCUAAUACCGGAUAACAUUUAGAACCGCAUGGUUCUAAAGUGAAAGAGGGUUUUGCUGUCACUUAUAGAUGGACCCGCGCUGUAUUAGCUAGUUGGUAAGGUAACGGCUUACCAAGGCAACGAUGCGUAGCCGACCUGAGAGGGUGAUCGGCCACACUGGAACUGAGACACGGUCCAGACUCCUACGGGAGGCAGCAGUAGGGAAUCUUCCGCAAUGGGCGAAAGCCUGACGGAGCAACGCCGCGUGAGUGAUGAAGGUCUUCGGAUCGUAAAACUCUGUUAUUAGGGAAGAACAAAUGUGUAAGUAACUGUGCACGUCUUGACGGUACCUAAUCAGAAAGCCACGGCUAACUACGUG
rnacentral:rRNA from 1 species